rfam:Ovis aries breed Texel chromosome 12, whole genome shotgun sequence.
AGCAGAGUGACUCAGAAGAAGCAUGCUGGGCCCGUAACCCAGAGGUCAAUGGAUCAAAACCAUCCUCUGCUA